rnacentral:rRNA from 1 species
UACGUAGGGUGCAAGCGUUAAUCGGAGUUACUGGGCGUAAAGCGUGCGCAGGCGGCUUUGCAAGACAGAUGUGAAAACCCCGGGCUCAACCUGGGAACUGCAUUUGUGACUGCAUGGCUAGAGUGCGGCAGAGGGGGAUGGAAUUCCGCGUGUAGCAGUGAAAUGCGUAGAUAUGCGGAGGAACACCGAUGGCGAAGGCAAUCCCCUGGGCCUGCACUGACGCUCAUGCACGAAAGCGUGGGGAGCAAACAGG